rnacentral:rRNA from 1 species
UACGUGGGGUGCAAGCGUUGUUCGGAAUUACUGGGCGUAUAGCGUGUGAAGGCGGCUCGCUAAGUCUGAUGUGAAAUCCCUGGGCUUAACCCAGGAACUGCAUCGGAAACUGGUGGGCUAGAGUUCGGGAGAGGGUCGUGGAAUUCCUGGUGUAGAGGUGAAAUUCGUAGAUAUCAGGAGGAACACCGGUGGCGAAGGCGGCGACCUGGACCGACACUGACGCUAAAACACGAAAGCGUGGGGAGCAAACAGGAUUAGAAACCCGAGUAGU